UACGUAGGGGGCAAGCGUUGUCCGGAUUUAUUGGGCGUAAAGAGCGUGUAGGCGGCCAGACAGGUCAGCUGUGAAAACUCGAGGCUCAACCUCGAGACGUCGGUUGAAACCGUCUGGCUAGAGUCCGGGAGAGGAGAGUGGAAUUCCCGGUGUAGCGGUGAAAUGCGCAGAUAUCAGGAGGAACACCGAUGGCGAAGGCAGGUCUCUGGGCCACUACUGACGCUGAGAAGCGAAAGCAUGGGGAGCGAACAGG
rnacentral:rRNA from 1 species